UUUAUGGGUACUUUCCAUGGGGCCUCCUCCAGUGGUGGUGUGUUUAUGGAAGACUGGCAGGGCAUUCGUUUCCCAGGCUAGCGACCGUUUUAGCAGACAAGUUGACACUGACCAGCAUCAUAUCUCUGUGAGAGGCUUUUGUUCUUUUACAGCAUGUUUUUUUUUCACUCGCCACAGAGUCCAGUUGUAUUGUACCAGUGUCUGAGGAUCACAAAAACAAACAGCGCGCUGGAGUGAGUUAUGCAGAUCACUGCAAAUUUACCAAGGGUCUCACACAAGCCAAAAUACUGCGAGAGCACCGUGGCGAACAGUCAAAACCCUCUAGGUCCGCAACGUCCAUUUCAGGUCGGGGCUCUCGUAACGGGUUGGGUGGGUGCCCUGACCUGCGCACCACCAGUGUAACCCCUACACCCAGGCACUGGCGGGGGGUCAGAGGGCUACAAGACCUUGUGCUGAGCCCUGGGAGUGAAUGCUGCAUACAGCGCACCUGUUCCACGCCCAUCGUACGUCAGUGAUGUUUCUGAAGCAGAAAGACUCGGAGUGGACUAAGCAGUAUUGUAAACUGUUUAUGUAUGUUUGUUUUUUUACCGAUCUUUGUGAAUGUCUGUCUUAUUGAAGAAUUUAUAGCAUAUGAUUUGCUGUUAAUUUCCUUGAACAACAUUGAAACCAGAAGUGGCAGGGGAAAAUAUAUCAUAUUCAACUGUAGCUUUUACUAAUCAUUACUGCCACAAGCACACGACUCUCUCAGAUGAAUUAUUCAUGUCACUUUAAUUUAGUAAGAGAUGCACCUAUUGGAAUUGACUAGGUUAACCUAAGAGCUUUAUGUCGCGUUAUCGUGCAUGAGUGUAAUUGUAGCCAAAGCAUUCAGGUGAAGCUUUGUUUUUAAAGAGCUAAGAAAACCAACAGAGUGGUGUGAAGAUACUCUGGACCAAGAUUUAUUAGCACGACUUCAGCCCCACUUGUACAUAACUUUAUAAACAAGACACGUUUUUAUGCUCUCUUCUGUGCCCAUAUAGUACAAGUCUGGCGGUGAGAUGAUCACUGCUAAGGUUCAUGUUGUGCAUCAGAGGAGAAACACUUUGCGCUGAUUUGACCGCAGUAAAAACGUAGUCUUGUCCGUGCAUUUCCAGGUGUUGAAUAAACAAAUGCAGCUAUGGCGUCAGUCCAUAUUGUCCGGAACGAGUGAACACCAACACAUUAGCAUUUAAAUGCAUGACAGUAGGAUCAGAACAGGGACAGAGCUAGAGUGUCCUUCUGAUGGAGAGACGAGCAAGCGAUGGAAAACGUCGACACAUUAUCAUGCAAAGUCUCUUCUGCUAUUGAGUGUAUCAUCUGUCCAUUUAGUCCCUUUGGCUUGUUUUUUUUUUUUUUUCAUUUGUUAGAGCUCCAGAAAUAUGUUUUCACAUGUCCACGUGAAGCCUAAAACUCAGUGUUGUGCUGCUUCUUCCUCUGUGCAAUCGUCAACGUCAACUCCAAAAUAAAUCAAUAAAAGAG